UAGCGUAGGGUGCAAGCGUUGUCCGGAAUUAUUGGGCGUAAAGAGCUCGUAGGCGGUUUGUCGCGUCGAAUGUGAAAACCCGGGGCUCAACCCCGGGCCUGCAUUCGAUACGGGCAGACUAGAGUUCGGUAGGGGAGUCUGGAAUUCCUGGUGUAGCGGUGAAAUGCGCAGAUAUCAGGAGGAACACCGGUGGCGAAGGCGGGACUCUGGGCCGAUACUGACGCUGAGGAGCGAAAGCGUGGGGAGCAAACAGG
rnacentral:rRNA from 1 species